UUGAAAAAUUUUUAUAUAAAAAGAAAAAUUAAUUAUUUGUACCUUGUGUAUCAGGGUUUAUUAAAUAAUUAAUAAAAAUAUUUAUUAAUCUCGAUUUUAUAAGAGUUAAUAAUUUAAUAAAGUUAAUGUAUUAGAAUUAUUUUUUAUAAAUUAUUGGAAAUGAAAUGUUAUUCGUUUAUAAAGGUAUCUAGUUUUUUUAGAAAUAAAUUAAAUUUAUAAAUUUUUGAUUUUAUUAAUUAUUUUAUUAAUUAAUAAAUUUAUUAAUUUUAAUAUUUUAAGGGAUAAGCUUUAAAAUAAAUUAUUAUAAAUUUAAUUAAAUAAUAAUUUAAAUUAUAUGCAUAGAAUUAGCAAUUAUUAAAAAAUUUGUUAUAAAUUAUUUUAUUUUAUAUAUAUAUUAUUUAUUAAUAUUUUAAUUUUUUAUAAAAUUAUUUUUUUUAAUUUGAAUUAAAAAGAAAUAAUGAUGAAAUUAGUAUAUAUAUUAUGUAUAAAUAAUUUUAUUUGAUAAGUUUAUAUAAAGAAUUCGGCAAAUAUUUUUUACUCGCCUGUUUAACAAAAACAUGUCUUUUUGAGUUAUUUUUAAAGUCUAACCUGCCCAAUGAAUGAUUUUUAAUGGCCGCAGUAAUUUGACUGUGCAAAGGUAGCAUAAUAAUUAGUCUUUUAAUUGAAGGCUAGAAUGAAUGGUUGGACGAAGUAUAAUCUGUUUCAUUUAAAUUUAUUAUAGAAUUUUAUAUUUUAGUAAAAAAGCUAAAAUUUUUUUAAAAGACGAGAAGACCCUAUAAAUCUUUAUAAUUUAUAAUAAUUUUUUUUUUUUUGAUUUAUUUUAUUUUAAUAAUUUAGAUUAUUUUAUUGGGGUGAUAUUAAAAUUUAAAUAACUUUUAAUUUUUUUUUAACAUUAAUUUAUGAUUUAUUGAUCCAUUAAUAAUGAUUAUAAGAAUAAGUUACUUUAGGGAUAACAGCGUAAUUUUUUUGGAGAGUUCUUAUUGAUAAAAAAGUUUGCGACCUCGAUGUUGGAUUAAGAUAUAAUUUUAGGUGUA
rnacentral:rRNA from 1 species